rnacentral:lncRNA from 1 species
CAAGCUUCAAGGGCAUAUCGGGGAGCGAUUGUUCACUUUCCUCAUUAUCUGUGGGAAAUAGAUUUGGGUUAGUUUUAUGAAACUCAGUAAGAAAAAUAGUAUUUAAACUACACUACUAAAGUUUUAAAAGUUGAUUAUUUCAAAACAUGUCUUACCUUUACAAUCAAUGGAGCUAACUGAUAUAUAGUCUGCGCAGUAGGUCUACACGCGAUAAGCCUGCGAGUAGCAGGCCUGCACCUAGUAGGCCUGUGUGCGGCAGGCUGGGGCAGGGUGCACUGCUGAUUGGGCGAUGAGCUGUCGUUGGCUUGGGCAACGUGCUGUCGUCGCUUAGGCGACGUGUCACCAUUGUUUGGGUAACGUCUCUCUAGUUUUUGCACUGUCGUCACAUCACAUCAUCCAUUCGUCGAUCGUCAUAUCUAAUUUUUCCAUUGACUUUCUCUCCGUUCACCAAAUUUCACCACUUGACACAAAUCUAACGCUCCCCACUACUUCACCAUUUCUUCAUCACUUCCAUUUUCAUUUUUCCAUCCCCCAAAGAGCUUUAAAGAGAGAGGGAGUGAUCUAGAGAGAGAGGGAGAGGAGGAGAAAAAGAAAAGGUGUAGGAAAUACUAAGGUUUCGAUAAUAAAUUUAGUAUUUACU